CGCAGGAAUACAGUCCACCAUUAAGACGGUGACUCAUGUACUUGGACCAAACAUAAAGAAGGUCUUGACUUUCAUACCUGGAGCCAGAAAAUGUAUGGAAUUUUGAAUCUCAUUUCUGGACCUGCUUGCAGGCGUGAUUGUGACAUAUACCUUGGUCCAGCACCUGAGUGAUUUGACUAUCCUGCCUGGGUAAAGCCUCAAAAUGGAAUUGUGACACAUGCCUGGUGCAAGCAUCUAAGGUGUGAUUGUGGCAUAUGUCUUUGCCCAUACCCUGAGUGAUUUUAGUUUCCUGCCUGAGCCCAGCCCAUAGAUGGAAUUGUGACAUAUACCAAGGCCAAGCACCAAGGCCUUGCCUACAAGAAAGAUUGUGUCAUAUCACUGAGCCCAGCACCUAUGUGAUGUACUUCUUCUGCCAUAGUUCUCCCCACAUAAGACACUGUGACAUAUUUCUGGGCCAAUUACAUAAGUUAAAUGAGUCUUUGCUUAUGCCUGGAUCUCACCCUCAGAAGAACUUAUGACAUGUUGCUGGACCCAGCACCUAGCUACAGGUGGGAUUGUGACAUAUGCCUGGGACGUGGUCACUGGUACAAUGAUGACACCCACAAACUUCAACCCACAAACCAGGAGAAAUAUUGAUUCUGUCUGCUAGGCUUUGGGCAACAGAUCAACUUGUAACUGCUCCUAAUCAAAGUGUAGAUGACAGGCAACUUGAAGGUUUGCUCCCAGGUUACAAUCCUCAAGCUUUGCCCAAAUAAACGGUCUACUU
rnacentral:lncRNA from 1 species